UGAAGUUAGCUCCCCCCGCUGAACCCGGGCUAACCUCAACUAAACAUUAAACGUCUUCAUGAUAUAAUUUGUUUUUAAAAAUGGCUGACAUUUUAUCGCUGAAAGAAUCGGUUUUGGUGUACUUAGACAGAAGCGGUGGUCUUAAGAAACUUUGCGAAAACUGCAAACAUUUUAACGGCACACAGCAGACCGAGGCGGUGUACAGGUUUUGUAUAAGUGUUAAUCCCGCCGAUGUGCUGGAGCUGGAUCCUGUACUGGGGGACUGUGUUCUCCAUGACCCCCUGAAAGCCACGGCUUUGUUUCAGUCUGUUUGUUUCCUGGCUAUAAAGACCCUUUCACUUAUUGAAAAAAUACACAUGGAGAGUCAGGUGAAUGUUAUUUUGAAGUUCACACACCUGCCUCCAUUCCCCGAGUACACACUGGACCUUUCCAGUUUUCCUCGUUUAUGUCGCCCUUUGAGGCCUGUCUCCAUGGAGGGCCUGGUCAUUGCCAUGACAAGGGUCACAAAGUACACCCAGGGGGCGAGGUUCCUCUGCACUGAUGAUGACUGCCCCUGCUCUACAGGUUUUCACCACAUUCGAGUGCACGCACCCGGAGCAACAGAGUCAGCCACAGUGAGAAACGACUUCAGCUGCAUGAUGUGCAGCUCCCAAUUGAAAGAGGAUGUGAAGUUUAGAGUUUUAGGAGACAAGCAGCUGGUGGAGCUGAUCCAUGUCAAAGCACUGGAUGUUCUAAGAGGCCACGAGCAAAGCUCAAUGAGAUACCAGUCUGUUACCCUGUUUCUCAGAGACGAGCUGUGUAACUCCAUGAGAAUCGGGCGAUAUUACCGGGUGUUGGGCAUUCCUGCACAUGUGCACCAGUGGUCCAACAUUACCUGGAGUGUGGAGGCAAAUAGUGUCCAGCCGUGGGAACCAGUGUGUGACUGUAAAGUCAGCGCCCGCUUCCAGGAGCUGUUGAAGGGAACGGCCUCGUCUCCAUGGAGGUUCUCCGCAAUUGUAGCUCACUGCUUUGGGUUGGACGUGGCUCCUCUAGGCUUGUACGACACUCUGAAGCUGAGCUUGCUGCUUAGCUUGGUGCAGACCAGAAUAGAUGAAAAGGACACGUUUCACAACUUGGAUCUUCUUGUUGUCACCACUGACACGCUUAUACUCGACAGAUUGAUGACAUACAGCUUGAGUUUGGCCUAUCGUGGGAUCAGGCAUCAGGCCACGGGGGAGAUGUUCGCAUGCCUGUCCCGGGAUGAACAUGGGGCAGGUACUGCUAACAUCCAUGCUGGUUCUGUCCUGCUAGCCACUGGGGGUGUUUGCCUGUUGGGAGAUCUGAGCUAUUACAGAAAGGACAAGUUGGAUUCCAUUAAGUCAGGUAACGAAUUUAUGGAGACCCGCACACUAUCAGUGUUCAUCCCUGGAAAGAAAUAUGGUGAGGAUGCAGACCAGCAGCUUUCCUUUCCAGUCCAGUGUAGCUUCUGGGCCGUCACAGACUCCUCCCGUCGAUCUGGGAGGGCAGACUGUGGCGCACUGGGAGCAGCAGAGAUGGGUGCUGUACCAGCUCAGUUGGCAGAUGCCUUUGGCCUUGUCAUUGAGUGUAGAGACAGGGUUGGAGAGCAGGCCCUGCUUGCCCAGACUGUCCACACCCUCCAGCAUGCAGUACAGUCUGGAAAACCCCAUGACCCACCCUGCUGGGAGUUUUCCACUGAAGACUAUCAGGAGCUGGUGGCCCAUGCACAACGUUUGCAAGUGGAGCUCAGCCCUGCAGCAGAGAAAAUAAUCCAUGGUUACUACAUGGCGAGCCGCAGAGUGCGAUCACAGGGUCAUGGUGUCAACAUGUCUGUGGCCUCUAUCAAGCUGCUGAUCUCUUUGGCUGAGGCCCAUUGCAAGCUAUGUCUCAGAACUCAAGUACUAGAGCAGGAUGCUGUGAUCGCUGUACUCCUUUGUGAAAGCUCAGUCUCACUCAAGCAUGGCGCCUCUGCUCUCAUUAUCCCACCCGAUCCAGUGUUUCCUUGUGACCUGGGAGAUGUAGAUGGUUUGUGCAAGCGAGACGCUGCUCUGGAUGAGCUCCAUCAGCUUAUCUUACGGUUCAUCUACACCAACGCACCUGGAGCAGACACAUACAUUACAGAAGAGUGAAGCCUCUCUAGGUUGUUUAACAAAAUGCAGGUUUCAAAAAUGGAAGAAGUCCCUUUCUUGACUUACUGAGUGACACUACUGACUGGCCAAUUAGUGGUAUUCUGUCUGUUGACGUCAUAUUUUUGGACUGGAGACCCGGCUGGAGUUCGAGUCAGAUGGGCAAUAUAGGUGGUGGCCAGUAUCAGCACGUCGAGUUUGG